CAAUGAAGAAAACAUGGUAAUGUGUACAUAAAUUGAAUUAGGUCUUUAGGCCUGCCCUCCCUGAUGUCAUUUGGCUUUGACUUGGGGGCAUGGUUCCACAGCAAAACA